GGGCCCGAUAAUAAGAAUCAGCUGGAGGUGCCCGAUAAUACAGUUCAGCUGGAGGGGCCCGAUAAUAAGAAUCAGCUGGAGGUGCCUGAUAAGCCGCAUCAGCUGGAGGGGCCCGAUUAUAAGAAUCAGCUGGAGGUGCCCGAUAAGACGGAUCAGCUGGAGGUGCCUGAUAAGAUGGAUCAGCUAGAGGUGCCUGAUAAGAAGGAUCAGCUGGAGGUGCGGCUGGGGGUGCUCGAUAUGAUGGAUUGGCUGGUGGUUUCCGAUAAGAUGGAUCGGGUGGAGGUGCCCGAUAAGAUGGUUCGGCUGGAGGUGCCCGAGAAUAUGGAUCAGCUGGAGGUGCCUGGUGAUAUGAAUCAGCUGGUGGUGCCAGAUAAUACGACUUGGCUGGAGGUGCCGGAAAAUAUGACGCGACUGGAGGUACCGGGUAAUAUGGAUCAGCAGCAGGCUCAAAAGAUGAAAGCACACGUCCAGGUUCAACUGCAGGAACUACUCGGAGACGUGCAUAGGGACCGCUGGCAGAAAGAGGAACUUGAGAGAUGUAGCGCCGCUCAGGAGUUGGAGUACGUGCCAAAUAUUGUGACCCAUUU
rnacentral:lncRNA from 1 species